CGGACGGGUGAGUAAUGUCUGGGAAACUGCCCGAUGGAGGGGGAUAACUACUGGAAACGGUAGCUAAUACCGCAUAAUGUCUACGGACCAAAGCGGGGGACCUUCGGGCCUCUUGCCAUCGGAUGUGCCCAGAUGGGAUUAGCUAGUAGGUGGGGUAACGGCUCACCUAGGCGACGAUCCCUAGCUGGUCUGAGAGGAUGACCAGCCACACUGGGACUGAGACACGGCCCAG
rnacentral:rRNA from 1 species